rnacentral:rRNA from 1 species
UACGUAGGGGGCUAGCGUUGUCCGGAAUCAUUGGGCGUAAAGCGCGCGUAGGCGGCCCGGUAAGUCCGCUGUAAAAGUCAAAGGCUCAACCUUUGAAUGUCAGUGGAUACUGCCGGGCUAGAGUCCGGAAGAGGCGAGUGGAAUUCCUGGUGUAGCGGUGGAAUGCGCAGAUAUCAGGAGGAACACCAGUGGCGAAAGCGGCUUCCUGGUCCAGCACCGACGUUUCAGGCACGAAAGCGUGGGGGAGCAAACAGG